AAGAGUUCAGUUAGGAAAAGUAAAAGAAGCCAAUUCAAAAAGAAAAAUCAUGAAAUUCGUGUGUUACAUCUAGAAAAGGCAACAUGAUUGUUAGAUCCACAGCAACAUGAUUCAACCACCCCCCAUAACAACUCUUUAAUCUUCAUUUUUUUAAAAAAUAGCCCAUCAAACAAGAAAUUAACAGAUUCAACCACAUGAUUACAACUGUACACUCAACCAGCUACAAUAUGAAUUAAUUUGCUCCUUGUGGUUGCAUAAUCAGUAUUUUGAGUGUUCCAAUAUAUCUAUAUAUUUGGCUACACUGACCAAUAAUUUAGACUAAUCAAAAUGCCUUUAAUAUUUCACAACGGCCAAGUACUGUGCAAUU
rnacentral:lncRNA from 1 species